ACAAAAGCAGUACUAAAAUUACUUUAAAUUUUUCAAAAGCAUGUGAUGACUUACUGGCACACUCGUCACCACCAGAUGAGUCAUUUCACAGCCAACUCAGAAAUCCACAAUUUACCACCACACACACUAAUUUUGAUAGUGGAGUAUUCAUUUAAGUUCUUUAAGUAAAAAUACAUUUGAUUGAUAGAGAUUCACAAAUGCUAAGAAUUGCUUGCUUUUCUCAGAUUCAUAUAGCAAUAAAAUGAAACCUUUGGGGUUUUUUUAGCUGCUUGUUUAAUAGGGUGAUUCAGAAUAUAAGGAAAACAACACCUCUGUAUUAAAAAGGAUUUACUUUUUAAACAUUUGUUUUGCAAACAUCUCUGUAAUAAAAUACAGGGAACGGGUACCGUUUUAAAUAUUUAUUUCUCCCAUCACAUCUGUAGUAAAUACAUGGAACUAUUAACAUUUUGAGAACUAGCUGUUUUGAGCAGUCUUGUCAAGGAGAUUUGUGAAAUCAAAGGAGAAUUGUUUUGGCCAUGCGUUUGUAAAUGUUAAAGACAUUUCUAUGAUCAGUUGGGAUGUCCCUUUCAAUGGACAACAGAAGAAGAUCUGACAGUCUCUGUUUCUAAGCUGGGUCUUGAUCAGCUUCAAUUUGGAGAACGAUCAGUCGACUGAUGCAGUUAACACUGGCAAUGGAGCAUUUAUUUGAGGAGUUUUGUCUGUUAGCAGGGCUACUCAAAGUGUUCUCUUCCACAUUUCAUGACAGUUUCAUGACAAGAUACAUUAGGAAAGGACAGGAAAAAUGUAAAACUUGUUUAACAUGCCCAGGCAGAGGUUUAAGUCCUACUGGGCAUUCCAUCUAAUUACUAAUGGCUAAUGCAAACAUACUUCAUCUCUCUCAUCUCCUCCCUUAAGCCUCUAGCUGUAUUUUGCAGAUCCCUUUAUAUUGUCUUCAAUGUUCUGUCUCUUCUUGGCAUUCUCUACAAGUGCAAGUUAAUCCAAGCUAAAGGGUUGUAAACACAUUUUGAAUAAAGAAUACUCUAAUGAUUUCCUUUACAGGUUUUAUUAUACAGCAAAAGGUUGAUUUCCAGUUUGUGCCAAAUAUUUAAUACACAGUUGGCUAAGUAGGCUAUGUAUCUAAUUAACCAGCUUUUACCCCUCUAGCAUAUUGUUUAGCAUGUUCGCAUGUUGGACAGGCCUGCAUAUAAAACCGACUCAGAAAAUACAGUCUACAUACAUCAGUAAUGCAUCAUUAAUCAAAUUUAAUCCAUACACUCAUUUUAAUUGCAAAAAGCCUUACUAUGCGACCUAUCUCACAAACUGUAGUAGUAUCAAGGUUGCAGCUUAGACUGCACUGACCCAAAGACAAUAGAAUAAUCUAUGGGGGUGUGACUGAGCAAGCUAGUGAGUAGUGCUGUAUCAAAAUCAACUGAAUGGAAUAAUGUCAGCUACAACAACCACAACAUGUUUUUAAGGGUGCUUUAUUUUCCUAAUGGUCAGCUAACAUAAAGGAUACAUCCAUUUCUACCCUAACGGCGAGUUUACUCGAUUAUAAAUGCAUCUUAUAGGGCAAGUAUCUCAUUUUCUUCACUGGAAGGGCACUUCACAAUGUUUUUCUCCCACAGAAGGCACCCUAAAGGGACCACAACAGCAACUCAUAGGGCACAGCAUUACAUCUUGUUGGGGUAUUUUACAAGCCUUCUGAGAGAAAAAAAUGGCAGACAGUAAAUUGAGUAACCUCAUGAGGGUAACCUCAUCAUCUGCCUGUGACAAGAGCCCCUCCCAACUCCCCAGAAAAUAUAAGUUCCUGAAGGUUCUGGGAGAGGGCAGCUUUGGAAAGGUGCUGAAAUGUUUGAAAAAAGACACUAAAGACAUUGUGGCUGUAAAUAUCCCCAAACACUUAGACGAUGGCACUGCCAGCAAGGAGUUUUCCAUGUUGCAGAUCUUAACGCACCACAACUUGGGCCAGUGCAAUAUUGUCAAGUUUUUUGAUUGGUUUGAAAUGAAGUGUUGAAAGUCUUCCAGAUGUUGGAUAUCAGCUUAGAAGACAACAUUCAGUUGUAUUACCCAAUUCAUCUGGUAACAUCAGAGUCAUCCAACAGGUGGCCAAAGCAUUCGACACACUGAAGAGCAUCAGAGUGAUCUAUACUGGAUACGUCCCUUCAGAAAGAAUCUGAAAGACUUUGGCUUGGCCAUACCAAGUUUUACUAUAAGUAGCUGUGUGCUUCCUGUCCAUAGUUUCUGUUUAUUCAGUUUGUCCUUGUGCUAGAUUGUAUUUUUUAUCCUUAAAAUAUGACAGUGUUCCUCAUUCUGUGUAACGCUUUUCUUCCACAUUCAGGUCUCCAGAAAUAAUUUUGGGCCUUUCAUUUUCUGAGGCCACUGAUAUGUGGUCAGUUGGAUGUGUGAUGGUCGCCAUGAGCCUCAGUUAUCCACUGUUCCCGGGGGAAGAUGAAUAUGAAGCACUGUGAUUCAUUGUUGAACUCCUGGGGUCAGCCAGCAAACCAUCUUCUGAAUAAUGGGAGAAAAACAUUCUGGUAUUUCAACAGGACUGACUUUAACGGCUGGAGGCUCAAGACACCUCAGGAGUACUGGGGAAAAAUAUUGUCCCUCACAAAGACAUUCCUCUCUGGAUUAUCUGAAACAGCAAUGAAGCUUCAGAGUCAGCAGCCACUCAACCCUUCAGGCGCCAGGCCCAGACCAGGUCCAAAAAGCCCAUGGAGAAGACCAGUUUUGAUGAGAGCUAGGUGUUAACUCAUCCUUGUCUUCUCUAGAGGAGUGUGUGGUACAGAGGCAACACUUCCUGCUUUUACCAGAUUAAGUCCUCUUUUUGGCUUAACACAAACUGAUAGCAGACCAUAUGUCGCUUUCAUCAACAUACUUUUGACAUAAACCAUCCAUGAACCUAUUGUUUUAGAGCAGUCAAGUUAUUUCCAGGGUCUGAAAUUCCAGAUGUAAAAGUCCUGUUCAUUUUUUGCAUGGACAAGCUGGCUGAUAUUUGGGACUGAGCUCUGCAGUGGCACUCUCAUGCUGACUGGCUUCUCUACUGUAGAAACGGCAGCUGAGGCUCAUGGGUAUUGUAGUGUGUAAAGCCAUUCACUACUACUUGGCCAUUUCUAAUUUUUAAAUGUCUGACCUGCCGAUUCCAGUGUCACACUGUGUGAGCGACGUGCACAUUGUGUGUGUGUGUGGGGCUGUACUGUCUGUGUGCUGUGUGUGCAAUGUGCAUGUUUUGUGUGUGUUGUCUGUGCUGUAGCAGCUGUGUACGUGAAGCAAAGUGCAGCUGGCAAAAAAUCAGAUUUAUGAGACUGACUGGGGCCAGUCACUCGUCAUGGCCGAUUAGCUGAUAAACAGCCGAUUUUGAUCGGCGGGCAGAUCGAUUGGUGCAUCUCUAUUUGGAUUCUAUUAUUUUAGAUACAAGGAUGGUUCCCUCUUUACAACGAUCUCUCCUUUCAUCCAGCUGCUCAGCACUGUGCUUUCUCUGUCUGCAAUCUAUUAUUGUGCUCAUGCUUACUUAUAAAAAGCUGAUUAAAAAAGAAAUAGAUUGGUUACGCAUAUAUAUGGCAGAGAAAUUGGUGUUGUCCAGGGAAUAAAAUCUACCUGUGGAAACCACGUUUUUGGUGAAAUAAAAUAAAAUUGAAAUAAAAAUAAGCUAAAAUAGAAUAAGACAGAUAAAAUAUAGGAAUAAAAUUUACAGUGCAGCACAAAAAAUUAAUCAAGAGCCUCAAAUUUGAUUUAAUAAAAGGCAGUGGCAGCCUUGAUUUAAAAGAACUGAGAGUUGCAGCAGACUUGCAGU